GAGAAACUGCGGGGUGGGAAGGGCUGGUGGGGGGAGCAGAGGCGGCCGCUCCGAGCCGAAGGAGAAGCCCGGUUUGUACCUGCCGUCUCCCGCGCAGCGUCUCUCCACCAGUCCGCGCGACACUGAGGGGAAGAGGCUGCGGUCCCUUUGGCAGCGGCGCCAGUGGCAAAGACCAACGCGGAGCUGUGCAGACUGGGAUUGGACUUCCUCCGGAUGGCCAUUCGCCUGAAGUUUACGCUCUCCGACCCGCUCAUUUUUUUCUCUUUAGCUCCCUUGUCGAGUUAGUCGUGCGGCUGCAGUCCAGUGACUCCGGCGCAAAACUGUCUCCAUGUGCAAAAAUGAAGCAGCUCACUUUACAGAUGAACUCUUUUUAUUCCCAUUGGUUGAUAUGCAGUGAUUAAAAAUCCUUGAGAGAGAAUUCAUACUCCCCCAGCUCCCUAGAAUGCAAGAA